rnacentral:rRNA from 1 species
GAUGAACGCUGGCGGCGUGCCUAAUACAUGCAAGUCGAGCGAACAGACGCGGAGCUUGCUCCUCUGACGUUAGCGGCGGACGGGUGAGUAACACGUGGAUAACCUACCUAUAAGACUGGGAUAACUUCGGGAAACCGGAGCUAAUACCGGAUCAUAUAUUGAACCGCAUGGUUCAAUAGUGAAAGACGGUUUUGCUGUCACUUAUAGAUGGAUCCGCGCCGCAUUAGCUAGUUGGUAAGGUAACGGCUUACCAAGGCAACGAUGCGUAGCCGACCUGAGAGGGUGAUCGGCCACACUGGAACUGAGACACGGUCCAGACUCCUACGGGAGGCAGCAGUAGGGAAUCUUCCGCAAUGGGCGAAAGCCUGACGGAGCAACGCCGCGUGAGUGAUGAAGGUCUUCGGAUCGUAAAACUCUGUUAUUAGGGAAGAACAAAUGUGGAAGUAACUAUGCACGUCUUGACGGUACCUAAUCAGAAAGCCACGGCUAACUACGUG